AUGGGAAUCAUGGAAGAGUUGCUCCCAAAUCUCCAUGGAGAAAACCAUAUUUCUGAGUGCAUUGGCCAGAAAGAUGAAAACCCUGAGGAGACCACACACGAGCAUAACCUGGAGAAGUGGAAAUAUGGUCACUGCCACAAGAAAAGCCUGUUGAAUAACAUCCCCAUUGGUACAAAGGCCACUGGAGAAAGCAAGGCAAAUCCAGCAGCAAGUUCACAGUCCUUCAGGUUGUUGGGUUUCUAUGGGCAAGGUAACGAUGAUGAAUUUAGAACCGUCAGGGAAAUGCUAUGGAACAGGAACAGGCUGAUAGACUCUUGUCCUGAGGGAUGCACAAUCUUCAUUAUUCAUAGAUGUCAUAUUUGUGAAUUCGCCUACUUCCUCAAAUGUAGUGGUAUCUGCAAAACCAACACUUGGAGGGAUUUUUCCAUCAUUCGCAGAAAUCUCUCUGCAGCUUGUUCUUCCCAGUACAAGCUGAAGGUGCCUGUGACCAGGGGUGUCCCAGAUGUCACGGGGACCCAUAGGUGUGGCUGGAUCAGAGAUGACAGAACGGCAGUCUCUGUGGUGGCAUCUCAGAGGCUGAAAGAAAACAAGGCCAAGGGGAAGAAGGUGGCUCUGGCCCCUGCUGUUAUGAAGAAGCAGGAGGCCAAGAAAGUGGUGAAUCCCCUCCCUGUUUGAGAAAAGCCCUAAGAAUUUUGGCAUUGGACAGGACAUCCAGCCCAAAAGAAACCUCACCCGCUUUGCGAAAUGGCCCUGCUAUGUCAGGUUGCAGCGGCAGAGAGCCAUUGUCUAUUAGCGGCUAAAAGUGCCUCCUGUAAUUGACCAUUUCACCCAGGCCCUGGACUGCCAAACAGCUACUCAGCUACUUAAGCUGGCCCACAAGUACAGACCAGAGACAAAGCAAGAGAAAAGUCAGAGGCUGUUGGCCCGGGCCAGGAAGAAAGCUGCUGACAAAGGGGACCUCCCCACUAAGAGACCACCUGUCCUUCGAGCAGGAGUUAACACCGUCACCACCUUGGUGGAGAACAAGAAAGCUGAGCUGGUGGUGAUUGCACACAACUUGGAUCUCAUCAAGCUGGGUGUCUUCCUGCCUGCCCUGUGUCAUAAAAGGGUAGUCCGUUACUGUAUUAUCAAGGGGAGGGCAAGACUGGGACAUCUAGUCCACAGGAAGACCUGCACCACUGUCGCCUUCACACAGGUUAACUCGGAAGACAAAGGCACUUUGGCUAAGCUGGUGGAAGCUAUCAGGACCAAUCACAAUGACAGAUACGAUGAGAUCUGCCAUCAAUGGGGAGGCAAUGUCCUGGGUCCCAAGUCUGUGGCUCACAUUGCCUAGCUCAAAAAGGCAAAGGGUAAAGAACUUGCCACAAAACUGGGUUAAAUGUACACUGUUGAGUUUUCUGUACAUAAAAAUAACUUAAACAAUACAAAUUUUCCUUCAAAAAAAAAA